CGCACAUUGCGCCCUUUGGCAUUCCGAAGGGCAUGCCCGUUCGAGCGUCAUUAAACCCCAUCAAGCCUGGCUUGGUAUUGGGCGUCGGGGUGUCCCUCGCGCCCCAAUUUCACCGGCUGGCCGUCGUCUGCCUUAGCGUUGUGACACAUUAUCGCUAGGGGGAGGUGGCGCACCACGCCGUUAAACCGCACAGAUUCCUCGCGGAAUUUGAUUAAGGUUGACCUCGGAUCGGGUAGGAAUACCCGCUGAACUUAA
rnacentral:misc_RNA from 1 species